UUUGCAUUUAAGUUUUAACUGAAAAUUGUUUUUAAAUAUUUUGUAUUAAGAAUAAAGUUGUUCAGAUAAUUAUUGUUUGAUUGUUUCCGUUACUGACUUAUUCAGUAUUUUCCAAGUACUAGUUAUCAUAUAAACAUUUUCGUUCUAAUUAUGAUUGCAAUACAGCAGACAAUGAAAGCCAUGGUGAGACAUGAAUUCGCGAUUCUAUCAGUUUGGAAAAUAUAAACAUCCUACGAUGACAAGGACUAGAAAAUACUGAUAAUAAUAAUUGUUUUAUUCAACAUGGCAAUACAGCAGAUGACUCAAGGAAUGCUGAGUCAUUUAUUCAUAUGCAUACAACUUUGGAAAAGUAUGAACAUCCAAUGUUGAAAAUGAACUAAAAGAUACUGAUUAUAAAGAAUUAAUGCAAUAUUGCAAUACAGCAGACAAUGAAAGCCAUGGUGAGACAUGAAUUCGCGAUUCUAUCAGUUUGGAAAAUAUAAACAUCCUACGAUGACAAGGACUAGAAAAUACUGAUAAUAAUAAUUGUUUUAUUCAACAUGGCAAUACAGCAGAUGACUCAAGGAAUGCUGAGUCAUUUAUUCAUAUGCAUACAACUUUGGAAAAGUAUGAACAUCCAAUGUUGAAAAUGAACUAAAAGAUACUGAUUAUAAAGAAUUAAUGCAAUAUGGAAAUACAGCAGGUCACUCAAGGGAUGCUGAAACAUUAAUUUCUAUUCAUACAACUUUGUGAAAAUUGCAAUACAGCAGACAAUGAAAGCCGCAGUGAGACAUGAAUUCGCGAUUCUAUCAGUUUGGAAAAUAUAAACAUCCUACGAUGACAAGGACUAGAAGAUACUGAUAAUAAUAAUUGUUUUAUUCAACAUGGCAAUACAGCAGAUGACUCAAGGAAUGCUGAGACAUUUAUUCAUAUGCAUACAACUUUGGAAAAGUAUGAACAUCCAAUGUUGAAAAUGAACUAAAAGAUACUGAUUAUAAAGAAUUAAUGCAAUAUGGCAAUACAGCAGAUGACUCAAGGAAUGCUGAGACAUUUAUUCAUAUGCAUACAACUUUGGAAAAGUAUGAACAUCCAAUGUUGAAAAUGAACUAAAAGAUACUGAUUAUAAAGAAUUAAUGCAAUAUUGCAAUACAGCAGACAAUGAAAGCCGCAGUGAGACAUGAAUUCGCGAUUCUAUCAGUUUGGAAAAUAUAAACAUCCUACGAUGACAAGGACUAGAAGAUACUGAUAAUAAUAAUUGUUUUAUUCAACAUGGCAAUACAGCAGAUGACUCAAGGAAUGCUGAGACAUUUAUUCAUAUGCAUACAACUUUGGAAAAGUAUGAACAUCCAAUGUUGAAAAUGAACUAAAAGAUACUGAUUAUAAAGAAUUAAUGCAAUAUGGCAAUACAGCAGAUGACUCAAGGAAUGCUGAGACAUUUAUUCAUAUGCAUACAACUUUGGAAAAGUAUGAACAUCCAAUGUUGAAAAUGAACUAAAAGAUACUGAUUAUAAAGAAUUAAUGCAAUAUGGCAAUACAGCAGAUGACUCAAGGAAUGCUGAGACAUUUAUUCGUGUGCAUACAACUUUGGAAAAGUAUGAACAUCCAAUGUUGAAAAUGAACUAAAUGAUACUGAUUAUAAAGAAUUAAUGCAAUAUGGAAAUACAGCAGGUCACUCAAGGGAUGCUGAAACAUUAAUUUCUAUUCAUACAACUUUGUGAAAAUUGCAAUACAGCAGACAAUGAAAG